AAUGAGGGAGAUGAUGUUUUCUUGUGUGAAUAUGAAUAUGACAUCCAGUGGCACAGUUUCAAACGCUUGGCUGACAUU
rfam:Medicago truncatula strain A17 chromosome 8, whole genome shotgun sequence.